rnacentral:tRNA from 1 species
UGGGGUGUCGUCUAAUGGUAGGACACCGGGUUUUGGUCCCGGCAGUCGGGGUUCAAGUCCCUGCGCCCCAG